rnacentral:rRNA from 1 species
CAGUCGUACGCUUCUUUUUCCCCGGAGCUUGCUCCACCGGAAAAAGAAGAGUGGCGAACGGGUGAGUAACACGUGGGUAACCUGCCCAUCAGAAGGGGAUAACACUUGGAAACAGGUGCUAAUACCGUAUAACAAUCGAAACCGCAUGGUUUUGAUUUGAAAGGCGCUUUCGGGUGUCGCUGAUGGAUGGACCCGCGGUGCAUUAGCUAGUUGGUGAGGUAACGGCUCACCAAGGCCACGAUGCAUAGCCGACCUGAGAGGGUGAUCGGCCACAUUGGGACUGAGACACGGCCCAAACUCCUACGGGAGGCAGCAGUAGGGAAUCUUCGGCAAUGGACGAAAGUCUGACCGAGCAACGCCGCGUGAGUGAAGAAGGUUUUCGGAUCGUAAAACUCUGUUGUUAGAGAAGAACAAGGAUGAGAGUAACUGUUCAUCCCUUGACGGUAUCUAACCAGAAAGCCACGGCUAACUACGUGCCAGCAGCCGCGGUAAUACGUAGGUGGCAAGCGUUGUCCGGAUUUAUUGGGCGUAAAGCGAGCGCAGGCGGUUUCUUAAGUCUGAUGUGAAAGCCCCCGGCUCAACCGGGGAGGGUCAUUGGAAACUGGGAGACUUGAGUGCAGAAGAGGAGAGUGGAAUUCCAUGUGUAGCGGUGAAAUGCGUAGAUAUAUGGAGGAACACCAGUGGCGAAGGCGGCUCUCUGGUCUGUAACUGACGCUGAGGCUCGAAAGCGUGGGGAGCAAACAGGAUUAGAUACCCUGGUAGUCCACGCCGUAAACGAUGAGUGCUAAGUGUUGGAGGGUUUCCGCCCUUCAGUGCUGCAGCUAACGCAUUAAGCACUCCGCCUGGGGAGUACGACCGCAAGGUUGAAACUCAAAGGAAUUGACGGGGGCCCGCACAAGCGGUGGAGCAUGUGGUUUAAUUCGAAGCAACGCGAAGAACCUUACCAGGUCUUGACAUCCUUUGACCACUCUAGAGAUAGAGCUUCCCCUUCGGGGGCAAAGUGACAGGUGGUGCAUGGUUGUCGUCAGCUCGUGUCGUGAGAUGUUGGGUUAAGUCCCGCAACGAGCGCAACCCUUAUUGUUAGUUGCCAUCAUUUAGUUGGGCACUCUAGCAAGACUGCCGGUGACAAACCGGAGGAAGGUGGGGAUGACGUCAAAUCAUCAUGCCCCUUAUGACCUGGGCUACACACGUGCUACAAUGGGAAGUACAACGAGUCGCGAAGUCGCGAGGCUAAGCUAAUCUCUUAAAGCUUCUCUCAGUUCGGAUUGUAGGCUGCAACUCGCCUACAUGAAGCCGGAAUCGCUAGUAAUCGCGGAUCAGCACGCCGCGGUGAAUACGUUCCCGGGCCUUGUACACACC